rnacentral:rRNA from 1 species
AUUCGCCGCGGUAAUUCCAGCUCCAAUAGCGUAUAUUAAAGUUGUUGCAGUUAAAAAGCUCGUAGUUGAAUUUCGGGGUCAGUAGGCUGGUCGUGCCCCCGGUACGUACUGGUCUAACUGAUUCCUCCUUCCUGAAGAACCGUAAUGCCAUUAAUUUGGUGUUGCGGGGAAACAGGACUGUUACUUUGAAAAAAUUAGAGUGUUUAAAGCAAGCUAACGCUUGAAUACAUUAGCAUGGAAUAAUGAAAUAGGACGAUCGAUCCUAUUUUGUUGGUUUCUAGGAUUGACGUAAUGAUUAAUAGGGAUAGUUGGGGGCAUUAGUAUUCAAUUGUCAGAGGUGAAAUUCUUGGAUUUAU